GUGAGGAAUAUUGCGCAAUGGAGGCAACUCUGACGCAGCCAUGCCGCGUGCAGGAAGAAGGCGCUACGCGUUGUAAACUGCUUUUAACCGGGAAGAAACCCCAGGACGUGUCCUGGGUUGACGGUACCGGAGGAAUAAGCACCGGCUAACUUCGUGCCAGCAGCCGCGGUAAUACGAAGGGUGCAAGCGUUAUCCGGAUUCAUUGGGUUUAAAGGGUGCGUAGGCGGAGCGUUAAGUCAGUGGUGAAAUCCUGCAGCUUAACUGUAGACUUGCCAUUGAUACUGGCGCUCUUGAGUGAGCUUGAAGUGGGCGGAAUGUGCCGUGUAGCGGUGAAAUGCUUAGAUAUGGCACAGAACACCAAUUGCGAAGGCAGCUCACUAAGGCGAUACUGACGCUGAGGCACGAAAGCGUGGGGAUCGAACAGGAUUAGAAACCCCGGUAGUCC
rnacentral:rRNA from 1 species